UGAGUGAAUUUCACACACACGUGCUAUAAAGCGCGUCUCCGAGGCGCGCACCUUCCCUUAGCAAUGGCUGGACGAAGCAAGCGGGAAAGACGCACGUUUCUUUGUGUGCCUGCGAAAAGCACCAAUUUCCACGCGAUUUCCCAGGAGAACCAGGUAGCGUACGCAUGGUGGAACGGUGGCAUUUAGCAGACGCUCUUAUCCAGGGCGACAUACAAUGAAGUGCAGAUCGAACACAGGGACAAGUGAGAAGAGGACAAUAUAUUAAAG